UACGUAGGGUGCGAGCGUUGUCCGGAAUUACUGGGCGUAAAGCGCGCGUAGGCGUCUUGCAAGUCAGGGGUGAAAGCCCGGGGCUCAACCUCGGAACUGCCUUUGAGACUGUGAGACUCGAGACCGAGAGAGGAGAGUGGAAUUCCCAGUGUAGAGGUGAAAUUCGUAGAUAUUGGGAAGAACACCAGUGGCGAAGGCGGCUCUCUGGCUCGGUACUGACGCUGAGGCGCGAAAGCGUGGGGAGCAAACAGG
rnacentral:rRNA from 1 species